UAUACGACCGUACCGCAAACCGACACUGGUGCGCGAGAUGAGUAUUCUAAGGCACUUGAGAGAACUCAGGAGAAGGAACUCGGCAAAUUGACACCGUAACUUCGGAAGAAGGUGUGCCCUAUUAGUGUGUAGUGAACAACGAAGCAUGAAUGGGUUGCAAAAAAUCGGAGGCUGCGACUGUUUAUUAAAAACACAGCACUCUGCAAACACGAAAGUGGACGUAUAGGGUGUGACGCCUGCCCGGUGCUGGAAGAUUAAAUGAUGGGGUGCAAGCUCUUGAUUGAAGUCCCAGUAAACGGCGGCCGUACAAUAACGGUCCUAAGGUAGCGAAAUUCCUUGUCGGGUAAGUUCCGACCUGCACGAAUGGCGUAACGAUGGCCACACUGUCUCCUCCUGAGACUCAGCGAAGUUGAAAUGUUUGUGAUGAUGCAAUCUCCCCGCGGGAAGACGGAAAGACCCCAUGAACCUUUACUGUAGCUUUGUAUUGGACUUUGAACAGAUCUGUGUAGGAUAGGUGGGAGGCUUUGAAGCAGGGUCGCUAGAUCUCGUGGAGCCAACGUUGAAAUACCACCCUGGUGUGUUUGAGGUUCUAACCUAGGUCCAUUAUCUGGAUCGGGGACAGUGCAUGGUAGGCAGUUUGACUGGGGCGGUCUCCUCCCAAAGCGUAACGGAGGAGUUCGAAGGUACGCUAGUUACGGUCGGACAUCGUGACGAUAGUGCAAUGGCAUAAGCGUGCUUAACUGCGAGACUGACAAGUCGAGCAGAUGCGAAAGCAGGACAUAGUGAUCCGGUGGUUCUGUAUGGAAGGGCCAUCGCUCAACGGAUAAAAGGUACUCUGGGGAUAACAGGCUGAUACCGCCCAAGAGUUCAUAUCGACGGCGGUGUUCGGCACCUCGAUGUCGGCUCAUCUCAUCCUGGGGCUGUAGCCGGUCCCAAGGGUAUGGCUGUUCGCCAUUUAAAGAGGUACGUGAGCUGGGUUUAAAACGUCGUGAGACAGUUUGGUCCCUAUCUUCCGUGGGCGCUGCAGAUUUGAGGAAGCCUGCUCCUAGUACGAGAGGACCGGAGUGGACACACCUCUGGUGUAUCGGUUGUCACGCCAGUGGCAUUGCCGAGUAGCUAAGUGUGGAAGGGAUAACCGCUGAAAGCAUCUAAGCGGGAAACUCGUUUCAAGAUGAGAUCUGCCGGGGCCUUGAGCCCCCCAAAGAGUCGUUCAAGACCAGGACGUUGAUAGGUCAGGUGUGGAAGCG
rnacentral:rRNA from 1 species